ensembl:snoRNA
AUCCUUUUGUAUUUCAUAAGCAUGAUAAUUGGGUUUUCACACACGUAUUAGAUAUGCCUCCCUCAAACCAUGCUAUAGCAUUGGUACCUUAUCCAUCUAACA